rnacentral:rRNA from 1 species
UACGGGGGGGCAAGCGUUGUUCGGAAUUACUGGGCGUAAAGGCUCGUAGGCGGCCAACUAAGUCAGACGUGAAAUCCCUCGGCUUAACCCGGGGAACUGCGUCUGAUACUGGAUGGCUUGAGUUUGGGAGAGGGAGUGCGGAAUUCCAGGUGUAGCGGUGAAAUGCGUAGAUAUCGGGAGGAACACCGGUGGCGAAGGCGGUUCUCUGGGCCUG